GGCGAACGCUGGCGGCGUGCUUAACACAUGCAAGUCGGACGGAAAGGCCCUGCUUUUGUGGGGUGCUCGAGUGGCGAACGGGUGAGUAACACGUGAGUAACCUGCCCUUGACUUUGGGAUAACUUCAGGAAACUGGGGCUAAUACCGGAUAGGAGCUCCUGCUGCAUGGUGGGGGUUGGAAAGUUUCGGCGGUUGGGGAUGGACUCGCGGCUUAUCAGCUUGUUGGUGGGGUAGUGGCUUACCAAGGCUUUGACGGGUAGCCGGCCUGAGAGGGUGACCGGCCACAUUGGGACUGAGAUACGGCCCAGACUCCUACGGGAGGCAGCAGUGGGGAAUAUUGCACAAUGGGCGGAAGCCUGAUGCAGCAACGCCGCGUGCGGGAUGACGGCCUUCGGGUUGUAAACCGCUUUCGCCUGUGACGAAGCGUGAGUGACGGUAAUGGGUAAAGAAGCACCGGCUAACUACGUG
rnacentral:rRNA from 1 species